AAAACGUGCAGGGUGACUCAUUUGAAAAGCAUGUAUAACUUAGAAGGAACCGGAAACUCUGCUCAAGUGUUUGCUCAACAUUGUCAAAACAAAUCUUCAAUGCAUAAUGCAGAAACAUCCAUUUAUAAUUCCUUGAAGAACAGCGGAAGGAAAUCAAAUAAAAAGAGGACAAUCAAGUAAUAGCUACUGCAGUUGAAUGAGUGCCCUCAUCUGGGGCUGGAGUCUCUGAGAGUGAAAGACACACUGCCUGCCUGCCUGCCUGGGUGUUGAGGAUGGGGACAUCUACGAUGGGACGUGGUGUGCCCAGUAUGAGGAUAAGAAAGAAUGGCUGGAGGUGGACGCCCGUCGACCCACACGCUUCACCGGGGUCAUCCUGCACGGACACAGCUCAAUCUGGAGGUGCUGUUCAGUAAUGAUACCCUGGUCUGGAAGACAGCUAUGAAUGGGACUAAAGAGCUCAUGAAGUCAGUGACCGAGUCCUGUCCUGACAUCACCCGUAUCUACAGCAUCGGGAAGAGCCACAUGGGCCUCAAGAUGUACGUCAUGGAGAUCUCUGACAGCCCUGGAAAGCAUGAGCUGGUGUGUAACUGUGGAGCUGUCCACUGUAACAGUGGAGUUGUCCUGUGAUGCCAGUGAGCUGCCCAUCAAGUGGGAGAACAACAAAGAGUCUUUACCGGUCUACAUGGAGUAGGUUCGUCCAUCAAUAGUGUCUAGUGCAGGUAAACACAACACGAUGGUGUUGUUGAUCCUAACUCUAUAUUUUUGCUUUGUAUUGAAGGUCCAUAGAGGACGCAAGGGUGUAAUCAGAGACAAAUACACAGAGGCUGGCAUUGAGGAUGCUAUAAUAGAACGUGGAUGCCAUAGACCACCAUAUUAGAUCAGAUGGGCUCCCUCCCUCCUCACAUGCAACAUUUUUUAUGUCAAUAAAUGAUACAAGAAAACCUAUAAAUUACGCUGUCAAAUUGCCCCUAGAUGGCACUACAGGAAUAUGUUAUGAAAUUAGUAGGC
rnacentral:lncRNA from 1 species